UUGCAGGUCUGCUUAUUAUGAUGCGCAGUUACCACUUGAGAUUUUGAGAGAAUAUUUUACCACGUCUAAUUCCAGUAUGCUAAUAGUUUGCUGACUUUUAUAUUUUUGUUCUUUUUUUCCUUUUCCUGCAGAGCCAUUUAUAUGAUCUUUAGUUUUCACAUAAAACCUCGAUUUCAUACGGCACGAUUUCAUGGUUCUGAGGAUGCGAAAGAUGAUAUAUUGCACGUGGAAUUGUUAAAGCCAUAGGACACUUCAAGGGGACCUGGU